UGUCGCAUGUGACAUGAAUAUGGUAAGGGGGUCAGAAUCCUCAAAUGAGAGACACAAAAAAGCAUUAAUUGAGGUUAUUAUAUAUUUUUUAAUCUGUUUGAAUCUCCCCCUAUGGUUAAAUAAAUUUAUUUAUAAAUAGAAAAUCUAGAGUAAAUGCAUAUAAAGGUUUGGUCAAUGGCAAGGGUUAAAGCCAUUCUGAAGAGGCCCUUACGAUGCUAUAGAGCUGGAACAUGUGAGAGCGACCUGCGGAUCUAUGGUAGACCGGGGACAGCUAUGCUACAGGUGCGGAGGCACCGAUUAUCAGGCUUUGUGAGUCGCUCAGUGCGCCCACCACUCACAGAAUGGGAGGGGCCCCAUGCGUUCCGCCGAAAACUAAAAGAACAAGCCGGAUUCGGGAGCCUGCUGCAGACAGGAGACAGGGUGACAAUGCGAGAGACCUAUCGCAAGAAGAGGACAGAAUCACGAGUGUGGCAGAUGGUCGGCGGGAGGCCAUGGAUAUGAACUUGACAAUAAUAGAGAGCAGGGUUGCCCUGAUAGCCGUUGCAGUGAUAGCCGAGAUUGUAUGCUAGACAUCCUUAACUGGGUCGGAGACCUGGAUGUUUUGGUCGCUAUGACGUGGACGUCAGUAUCGGGUACGCCCAUUGUAGGGAUCCUGCUCGAGCAGGACAAGGGGUAUGCCGCGAUCGAGUAGGCUGGGAUGGUGAUGAUGGGCGUAUAUGUCUCCACGAACAGUGGCCUGGUUGCGUUUGAGGAAUUCCUGGACGGGGUUAGGUUGGGGUUAGUUUGGCGAUUGCAUGAAACGAACCUUUCACGUCAGGUCUUCGUUCUGGGAGACUUUAAUGCUCACUCCUCGCAAUGGGGCAACACAAGGAUGGAUACUCGUGGCCGGGUGCUGUCAGACUGGGCUGCGGGCCAUGGGCUCCUUUUACUUAACAGAGGCUCGGGUCCGUAGGCGGUUCCAGAGAUUCCGCCGUCGGUGGCUUCAUGACGAGGAAGAGAAAUCCCUCUGCUACAAGGGAUAUAGAGGAAAGCAACGCAUAUUACAGCGGAGGAUCAAGAUUGCUAAAGCCCGAUCCUGUAUGGACCUCGGCCAGUUAAUUGAAUCCGACCCGUGGGGGUGGCCGUACAGGAUGGUGAUGAAGAAACUGCGGCCAAAGGCUCCACCGCUGACGGCAGAUAUGAAUUUGGUAUUGCUGGAGGAGGUCAUUCGCACAUUGUUCCUGCCACAGAAUAGCCUGGGACUUCCUAGACUUUGACAAUGGAGUGGAGGGAGGAACUAGGGGUUGCGGAGGAGGAGAUGCUGGAUGCGACGAGCAGGAUAGCCUCCCGCGUCGUGGCGCCAGGCCCGAAUAGAGUCGCGGGACGGAUAUGGGCGGAGACGAUAGCCCCCAGACUAUGUCAUUUAUUUGCACGGUAUUUGAGGGAAGGAGUCUACCCUCGGAUAUGGCGCAUGGCGAGGCUGGUCCUGCUUCGGAAGGAGGGACAACCGACGGACUCGCCGUCUGCGUAUCAUCCGAUGUGCCUACUGGAUGAAGUGGGCAAACUCUUCGAAAGAGUCUUUGCCGUCCGUCUGGAGGCCCAUAUGUCAGGGCAAAUGCCCUUGGCACGAAAGCCAGUACGGCUUUGGACGGAGCCGCUCGAUGGUGGAUACGGUGAACCGGGUGCGGGAGAUGUCACGGGCCGUGGUUUCUCGGGAUGGGGUAGCGCUUGCAGUCUCUUUAGGUAUAGUCAAUGCAUUCAAAACCAUACUCUGGGACGGGAUAUUGGAGACCCUUGAAUUUUUUGAGGUACCUCCCUACGUUAUUCGUGUCAUACGAGCCUACCUGAGCGACAGAUGGGUCGGCUACACUAGCAAGGAUGGAGAAGGGCGGUGGCCCGUUGAGCGCGAGGUUCCGCAGGGUUCGGUUUUGGGACCGAUUCUGUGAAUCAGCUGAUUCAUCGGCUACAACGCGGUGCUUCACUGUCCCAUGCCCCCAGACUCAGGCAUGGUGUGUUACGCGGACGACACUCUGGUCAUGCGGUCUGGUCUGAGGUUGCGGGUGGCACGAGACGUUGCGCCUCGGCGAAGUCGCAACGGCCUACGCGAUACGUACUGUGCGCGGAUUGGGCCUGAGGGUCUCCCCUGCGAAGUCGGAGGCCAUCUGAUUCUACGAUAAGAGCAGGCGAGGGACUCCUUCGCCCGGUCUGAGCAUAGACAUGGCAGGGAAAGUUGUCGAGGAUGAAGUAUCUGGGUCUCAUGAUCGACAACCAGUGGACGUUCGGGCUGCACUUCGACUCCCUGAUACCAUGGGUGUUGGCAGCGGCCAACGCCUUGUGCGGCCUGCUGCCGAACAUCGGCGGAGUCGCGAUGCGUCGACUAUACGAGGGCGUCGUUCGAUUCCGAGUGAUGACGUAGGCAGGCCAUCGUGGAGUUUUAGUCGUUAAGAGUCCGACACUACUCUGCUGCUGCCCGCAGCGGCAGAGUAUCCAUGAGUAUUUCUCCACGCAUAAAAAUAAAAGGUAAAACAUGGGAAGGUCGGGUGAUCAAUUCAACCACUGUUGAGAAACGCUAAGUUGGUAUGACCGCUAGUUUCUAUAAGCUAAGUUGAUACGACUUCUAACGACGCUCCUUUGUCUUAGAAGUCGACCACGUGUUAAUUGCCUAAGCGUAUCCGGCGUGUUCAGACGUUUUUUGUACGAGGAGGUGAAAUACAAAGUGCAAUAUUCAA